rnacentral:rRNA from 1 species
AUGGGAACGCGAAGAACCUUACCUACUCUUGACAUCCAGAGAACUUUCCAGAGAUGGAUUGGUGCCUUCGGGAACUCUGAGACAGGUGCUGCAUGGCUGUCGUCAGCUCGUGUUGUGAAAUGUUGGGUUAAGUCCCGCAACGAGCGCAACCCGUUAUCCUUUGUUGCCAGCGGUUAGGCCGGGAACUCAAAGGAGACUGCCAGUGAUAAACUGGAGGAAGGUGGGGAUGACGUCAAGUCAUCAAGGCCCUUACGAGUAGGGCUACACACGUGCUACAAUGGCGCAUACAAAGAGAAGCGACCUCGCGAGAGCAAGCGGACCUCAUAAAGUGCGUCGUAGUCCGGAUUGGAGUCUGCAACUCGACUCCAUGAAGUCGGAAUCGCUAGUAAUCGUAGAUCAGAAUGCUACGGUGAAUACGUUCCCGGGUCUUGUACACACCG